UAGGGAAUCUUCGGCAAUGGGGGGAACCCUGACCGAGCAACGCCGCGUGAGUGAAGAAGGUUUUCGGAUCGUAAAACUCUGUUAUUAGGGAAGAACAAAUGUGUAAGUAACUAUGCACGUCUUGACGGUACCUAAUCAGAAAGCCACGGCUAACUACGUGCCAGCAGCCGCGGUAAUACGUAGGUGGCAAGCGUUAUCCGGAAUUAUUGGGCGUAAAGCGCGCGUAGGCGGUUUUUUAAGUCUGAUGUGAAAGCCCACGGCUCAACCGUGGAGGGUCAUUGGAAACUGGAAAACUUGAGUGCAGAAGAGGAAAGUGGAAUUCCAUGUGUAGCGGUGAAAUGCGCAGAGAUAUGGAGGAACACCAGUGGCGAAGGCGACUUUCUGGUCUGUAACUGACGCUGAUGUGCGAAAGCGUGGGAAUCAAACAGG
rnacentral:rRNA from 1 species